rnacentral:lncRNA from 1 species
AGAAAGAAUAACAAGGAUAUUUCUUGGUGAGACGGCAAGAACACCCAGCCUGCCUUCUCAACCUUCACCCAAAUGAGAUUUUUUUUCUUUUUAAUAAAAGGUAUAUUUUGAAUGACUGCAACAAAAACACAGACUCAGAAGGAAAGAAGGCACUUUACAAAUUUGAGUGUGUGGAUCUAACUUCUCCAUGCCUGAUCUCAGGAUAUUUUGGCCGCCCACACAGAAGAUGAACUCUGAGGUGACAACCAUGAAGUUGGGGGCUGAAAUGCAUCGUACUGGUCAAGAUCGACGGUGAAGCUCGUUGGAGGAAUUCCUGAACUCAACCUCGCCAACCCACUGCUGAUAGACUCAGAAGCAGGCGUGCUGAAAAGGGGCCAGCCGAGCAUGUGGGCACACUAUAGCACGUAUCGAGAGUCACACAGUGAACAGAUAGUGUAG